UUUAAGUGGAUUUAUGGAUUUUCGUGUUUAACGUUUGACCGCUCAUCUUAAUUAAUUUUUUUAUGAUUAGUAUUUUUGUUGAUAUUAAAUGAUAAAACAUAAAUAUUAUUUUAUGCGUAACAUAUUUUUAAAAGAAUUUUAUAAGUUCUUCGAAUAAGUUAAACGGUCAAAUUUAGACACGAAAACCUACAACGACACUGUGA
rfam:Oryza nivara chromosome 3, whole genome shotgun sequence.